rnacentral:sRNA from 1 species
UUGACACACAAAUGAGAAUUGUUAUUAUUAUCACAACUGAUCGCGAGGUCAGUCGAUAGCUGAAGACUCCAGGCAGUCGGGUCUUCAGGUUAUCUCCUCAUCAGGCUAAUCACGGUUUUGACCCGGCUCUGCCGGGUCUUUUUUUG